UUUUCAACCAUGAUUUCGGUUUUCCUUUCCACAUUAAACAGCAGAUGGUUCUUUGUCUGCUGAUGAAUGAGAGGUUUUAGUAUGGUUUAAAUAUGAGCAGAUGCUCUGAAAGGUGAAACAUGACUGCAUGCUGAAAGGUGUAUGAGUAGUUAAUUAUAUGGAUGAUAUGAAUGAGCUUAUGUCUAAAUGCUUGUUCUUCCUGUGUGCAGCUUACUGCCUUGUACUGUACAUGGAAUCUUACAAUUAAUAACCUUCUCAUUAUACUUCCUUUACAGCAAAAAAGUUAUUUACAGUCAGCCUUCAGAAACACACAGUGAUCGGAAUUUCCAGCAGAAGUCAUCCUUCCUGGUAUAAAUAGAAGCCUUCAUGUGCUUGAUUUUGCCUGAACUCCAUCCUGGAUUUGUCGUCUAAUUUGAAAUUGUUGUAUAGGAAUUUAUCAUAUGAAUUCCAUGUAACUGCUUUAGAUGAUGGAUAUGGAACCAUUUACCCUUUUUAGUUGAUGGAUAUGGGACCAUUUACCCUGGCCUUGUUUUACUACAUUAUGUUAAUCAUUCAUACACUGAAAAUGUUUGAACCUUUAGGAGUCUUGAACCUUCUGCAAGUACUGGUAUAUUAAAAAAUGCCAGCUAUUUGUGAUAUAGAAGCUUCCAUCAGAUAGCACAAACAGUUGGACCUCUGCAGAAGGUACAAGACUUUGUGGUUUUUUUUUUAAAAACUGUUUUGAGUGCUUCUCUGUAGUGGACACCACCGAAAACAAUGUGUUGGGGACAUUACGGUUGAAAACAAAUACAGUGGUUGUAACAAUGCUGUUUAAGGUAGCUGCAAUACUCGGAUGUAUUUUGCUGUUUAAUGCUUCUCUCUAUCUAGAAACUCAUUUCUGUGCAGUUUCUAUGUAUCUCUCAAGAAAUUAUAUAAAAGUUACAAGAGUACAUACAUAGUGAGAGAGGGUUAUUUUAUUUAUAGCAACCACUAACGGCAAUGUUGGAGGAUAUGUAUGAAGAGUUCAAUUUAUUUUUUAAAAAGAAAAAACACUAAUCAGUCUUAAUACUAUUUCAACAACGAUCAGGAUCCUAGAAAUCUGCAGGAGUCUCUAGUUGUGUUUUAUUUUAAUAACUAAUUCUGUGCUUUGUCUAUUAAUAUUCCAGAUAUUUGUAUACAAUUCCUGUUUAAGAUGGGCUCUCCAACUGCAGAGUUGGUCAUUAAGAUAGAAUUUAGUUUUUUUUAAAUGUAUUUAUAUCUUGUAUUUUGUGUGUGCUGUAGAAAAAGAUUUUUCCUACAUACAUAUCCAAACUAGUUUAUUAGUGUGCCUGUAAGGAACUAAAUGGCAAUCCUAAAUUAAUAGCAAAGUAAUCCUAUUUAAUUAUCUCAUCAGUCUGCACCUUAACCUCUGUCUUGUUAAUAAAUGUGACUUACUCAAAUUGGCAGAAACUGUACACAUAUUCAGAAUGCAUUUUAUAGGACUCAUUUUUAAAGAUGUUUUAAAUGAAUUUCUAAAUAUGGAAUAUGCAUCAGGACCAAAUUGUAAAUAAAAUGUGUGAACAUCUGUAAGAAGCCGAGAUAAACGUAAUUUAUUGCUCCACAUGUCAGACAUUAGAGUGAAUGUUAAUAUUUUACAUGCAUUUUAAAGUGGCUGCUUUUAAACUUUUUAGUAUCGUCCCCUAGGAAUUCUUUUUGGGCUAUUUGCUGUUAAGAGUAGUCCCUUUUUGAGGUUAUCCUUAAACUGUAGCUAUUAGGGUGAAAUUACUCGAUUCAUUAGUCCAUGUAGAUUCUUUAGUAACACUUUUUUUUUUUUUUUAUAUUCCCUUUUAACUGUAGCAAAAUGUGUCACACUAUCAACUAUUUUUACCGAUUCUAGGAAGUUCUCUAUCAUUAGAUCAUAAAUGAUAAAUUUAAUGAAACUUGCUCAUAUCCAGGGCAAUUUCCACAACUCUCACAUUUUAAAGGGGCAGUCAACACAAUAUUUACUUAUUUCGAUUUAGUGGUUAAUGCUUUUUAAAUCUUCCUUUAGCCCACGGAUAUUGCAUACCUAGUUUUCUUUUAAACCUAGUUAGCAGCCUCCGGCCGAUUUGAAAUGGCUGCCAGACCCUUCCUUUUUGUGACAUAAUCACCACCCCAGGCUUUGUUGAAAGGAAUUCUCUCCGUGUCGAGCAAGAGAUUUAAUUUAGCCUUUUGCUAUACAAAUAUUGUACACAUUCAUGUAUUUUGCAGUAUGGAACAUUUUAAUGACAAACAAUACGAUUACAAAAUACAUUCUUGCCCCAAGUGCUGGGAAGUACAGGUAAGCUUGCUCUGAUACACGGUCUGCUGGCUGAGUUUCACUGACAGAUCCGCUUGGUAUGGUGACCGCUAUAGAAAUGAGAUCAAUUCUUUAGUUCCAGUGUUUAAAAGGCCUCCUUGACUAUUUCAAUACACUGGGCAAGUGCAAGCUACCGCGCAUGAAACCUCUUCUCGACACGGAGAGAAUUCCUUUCAACAAAGCCUUGGGUGAUGAUUACUUCAUAAAGAGGAGGGGCCUGGUAGCCAUUUGAAAGAAAACUGUGUGCAUUAUCUGUGGGCUAAAGGAAGAUUAAAAGAACAUUAACCACUACAUUUGAAAUAAGUAAAUAUUUUGUGUUUACUGUUCUUUUAAAAAGGUCUUCACUGAGAUGGAAAUUAGCCCACACAAUAGCAUCAGGUGGUUGUUGUGUGAUUGUUUUUUUUUUUUUUUUUUUUUUUUUUUUUUAUAAAGGCUAUUUUUACAUUGUAGCUUUAAUCUGUGGCAGUGGUUAACUUUUUUUUGCAGCAGAAUGCAACUACAUCAUCUCCUACUGGUCUCUAACUCUUAACCAGUAAUUAUGUAAAAUACUUCUGCAUAUUUUCUGUGAUUUUUACAUUUGUUUGAAAAUAAACAUUUUCUUUUAAA